rnacentral:rRNA from 1 species
AGUGAACGCUGGCGGUAGGCCUAACACAUGCAAGUCGAACGGCAGCACAGUAAGAGCUUGCUCUUACGGGUGGCGAGUGGCGGACGGGUGAGGAAUACAUCGGAAUCUACUUUUUCGUGGGGGAUAACGUAGGGAAACUUACGCUAAUACCGCAUACGACCUACGGGUGAAAGCAGGGGAUCUUCGGACCUUGCGCGAUUGAAUGAGCCGAUGUCGGAUUAGCUAGUUGGCGGGGUAAAGGCCCACCAAGGCGACGAUCCGUAGCUGGUCUGAGAGGAUGGUCAGCCACACUGGAACUGAGACACGGUCCAGACUACUAAGGGAGGCAGCAGUGGGGAAUAUUGGACAGUGGGCGCGAGCCUGAUCCAGCCGUACCGCGUGUGUGAAGAAGGCGUUCGGGUUGUAAAGCCCUUUUGUUGGGAAAGAAAAGCAGCAGGUUAAUACCCCGCUGUUCUGACGGUACCCAAAGAAUAAGCACCGGCUAACUUCGUG